rnacentral:rRNA from 1 species
AGUGAACGCUGGCGGUAGGCCUAACACAUGCAAGUCGAACGGCAGCACAGUAAGAGCUUGCUCUUACGGGUGGCGAGUGGCGGACGGGUGAGGAAUACAUCGGAAUCUACUUUUUCGUGGGGGAUAACGUAGGGAAACUUACGCUAAUACCGCAUACGACCUACGGGUGAAAGCAGGGGAUCUUCGGACCUUGCGCGAUUGAAUGAGCCGAUGUCGGAUUAGCUAGUUGGCGGGGUAAAGGCCCACCAAGGCGACGAUCCGUAGCUGGUCUGAGAGGAUGAUCAGCCGCACGGGAACUGGAACACGGUCCAGGCUCCUACGGGAGGCAGCAGUGGGGAAUAUUGGACAAUGGGCGGAAGCCUGAUCCAGCCAUACCGCGUGGGUGAAGAAGGCCUUCGGGUUGGAAAGCCCUUUUGUUGGGAAAGAAAAGCAGCAGGUUAAUACCCCGCUGUUCUGACGGUACCCAAAGAAUAAGCACCGGCUAACUUCGUG